UACGAAGGGGGCUAGCGUUGCUCGGAAUCACUGGGCGUAAAGGGUGCGUAGGCGGGUUUUUAAGUCAGAGGUGAAAUCCUGGAGCUCAACUCCAGAACUGCCUUUGAUACUGAAAGUCUUGAGUAUGGGAGAGGUGAGUGGAACUGCGAGUGUAGAGGUGAAAAUUCGUAGAUAUUCGCAAGAACACCAGUGGCGAAGGCGGCUCACUGGACACGUAUUGACGCUGAGGUGCGAAAGCGUGGGGAGCAAACAGG
rnacentral:rRNA from 1 species